rnacentral:misc_RNA from 1 species
GAUGAAGAACGCAGCGAAAUGCGAUAAGUAAUGUGAAUUGCAGAAUUCAGUGAAUCAUCGAAUCUUUGAACGCACAUUGCGCCCGCCAGUAUUCUGGCGGGCAUGCCUGUUCGAGCGUCAUUACAACCCUCAGGCCCCCGGGCCUGGCGUUGGGGAUCGGCGGAGCCCCCCGUGGGCACACGCCGUCCCCCAAAUACAGUGGCGGUCCCGCCGCAGCUUCCAUCGCGUAGUAGCUAACACCUCGCGACUGGAGAGCGGCGCGGCCACGCCGUAAAACACCCACCUCUUCUGAAGUUGACCUCGAAUCAGGUAGGAAUACCCGCUGAACUUAAGCAUAUCAAUAAGCGGAGGA